GACGAACCGUGCGAACGUUAUUCGGAAUCACUGGGCUUAAAGCGCGUGUAGGCGGAUGGGAACGUCGGCCUUUGAAAGCCCCCGGCUCAACCGGGGAAGCGGAGCCGAAACGACCGAUCUGGAGGGACGUAGGGGGACCUGGAACUUCCGGUGGAGCGGUGAAAUGCGUUGAGAUCGGAAGGAACGCCCGUGGCGAAAGCGAGGUCCUGGACGUCUGCUGACGCUGAGACGCGAAAGCUAGGGGAGCAAACGGG
rnacentral:rRNA from 1 species